rnacentral:lncRNA from 1 species
GAUUGAAUAGUAGAAGCAUGGUGUCUAGAAAAGUUAAUACCAAUAUGAGAUGAAACUUAAAGACUGGACUUCACUGUCCAUCUGAAUUUCUCAGUAACCCUUUGUAGUUAUUGUCAGGUUGACUGAACACCUUUACUACUUCCUAUUACCCUCUCUCUUCUUCAGCAUUUUCUCUUCAGCCCUGACCUCAAUGCCCCUUCACUCAUCUUUUUAUUCUUGUUUCUUCCAAUUCAGAAUGCAGGAAUUGUGGUGUAUUUUAGCUCACAUGAAAGGGAUUAUGAAGUCUAAUUAUAAUAACUCUUUGUAAGUUACUAUAGUAAGACAUGUUAAUAAAGCAAAGUAAAUAUGCUUUUCUAGAAGUUACAAUUUUCAGAUUUUUUGUAUUGUUUUACUAUAGAGUAACUUAGAUACAUUAUUAUAGUUAACUUAGAUACAUUAUUAUAGAGUUAACUUAGAUGCAUUAUUUGCAUCUGAGAUGGUCUUUACUAA